AUGCUCUCAAAACAGACAUGGAGAUUGCUAAAUAAUCCUGACUCACUUUGUGCUCAAGUUUUGAGAGCGAAAUAUUAUCCCGAUGGGAAAUUACUGAAUGCGGGUCCAAAAAAAGGCUCUUCUUACACCUGGCAGAGCAUUUUUGCAGGACUACAAACUUUUAAGCGUGGACACAUUUGGAGAGUUGGCUCAGGAGAAAAAAUUAACAUUUGGGAGGAUCAUUGGAUCCCAAAUAGUCAUUCCAGGAAAGUUUUUACCAGGAGGGGAAACUGUAUUUUGCAUACUGUUGAUGAGUUGAUUGAUCAACAUAAUGUUAGCUGGGACGAACAACUUAUCAGAGAUAUUUUCUUACCCAUUGAUGCGAACAAUAUUCUUGCAAUCCCGUUGAGUCCACACCUACAGGAAGAUUUUGUGGCAUGGCAUAAGACAAAAAGCUUUUUGUUCUCUGUCCGUUCUGCCUAUCACAUUGAAUGGGAUCAUCAGUUCGGCGCACGAACUAGAAGAGAAGAUGGGCAAGGCUCUGCUGAACCGAACCCAGUGUGGGACAUUUUAUGGAAGCUAAAAAUUCCAAGUAAGAUUAACGUGUUUCUGUGGAAGGCUCUGCAUGGUACAGUUCCAGGCAUGGCGAUUCUUGCUUCGCGACACAUACCCGUCUCACCACAAUGCCCUAUUUGUCGGUCAGGUCCGGAGAAUAUUCGGCACUUGUUAUUUACAUGCACUUGUGCACGGAAGGUUUGGUCUGCGCUCGGCCUCCUGGAUAUCAUUGAUGGUGCACUGAUUGCAGGCAUGUCAGGAUCAGUAGUACUUGAGCAUAUUAUUUGCAACCCAAACAGGAAGUCGCCGGUCCUAGGUAUGUUAGGAUUGCAGGAGUCAGUAGCCGUUGCGUGUUGGUAUGUAUGGUGGCAAAGGAGGAAAGCAGCGAAGGGCGAAACUGUAGCGGAUCCCCCCCGGACAGCCUUUGCGAUUCAGGCUCUAACAUCAAAUUUUGGAGUUGUUUCCCAUUUCAGUAAACCACGUGAAAUAACGUGGUUGGGUCUCCUUUGUGAUCCUCUGUCCAUAUAUUAUUGA
rnacentral:rRNA from 1 species